AACGAACGCUGGCGGCAUGCCUAACACAUGCAAGUCGAACGAGACCUUCGGGUCUAGUGGCGCACGGGUGCGUAACGCGUGGGAAUCUGCCCUUGGGUGCGGAAUAACUUCUCGAAAGGGAUGCUAAUACCGCAUAAUGUCGUAAGACCAAAGAUUUAUCGCCCAAGGAUGAGCCCGCGUAAGAUUAGCUAGUUGGUGGGGUAAAAGCCUACCAAGGCGACGAUCUUUAGCUGGUCUGAGAGGAUGAUCAGCCACACUGGGACUGAGACACGGCCCAGACUCCUACGGGAGGCAGCAGUGGGGAAUAUUGGACAAUGGGCGAAAGCCUGAUCCAGCAAUGCCGCGUGAGUGAUGAAGGCCCUAGGGUUGUAAAGCUCUUUUACCAGGGAUGAUAAUGACAGUACCUGGAGAAUAAGCUCCGGCUAACUUCGUGCCAGCAGCCGCAGUAACAC
rnacentral:rRNA from 1 species